AAAACAGACUCUUCCUCAAACUCAGCUAAUAAACUGCUAUUAGGCAAUCCUGAGAGCAGUCCAGAGACAACCCCUCAUCCCCGAUUUUACUUUCUGCAGUUUUCCAUUAGCCACGGUCAGCUGUGGUCAGUUUGGAAGCAGAUGACCCUCCUGACGACCCUCAGAAAGUCAGAAGUGGCCUGAUGCUAGGUCACCAUGCCUACAGUGCCCGGAUGUCCUCCAUCCUGCUUCAUCUCAUCACGCAGGCAUGUUGUCACCUCCCAUCACCACAGAAACAAGGGCUCUGCUGACAAGGACUGAGAGUGGAAAUGGAGGAUAUGAGGUGGAAGCAAGGCCCUUUGUGAGGAGACCGACACAACCUCCAGACCAUGAAAAGCCAGGCGAUGUGUUAAGAUCUCUAGAAGGAAAAAAGAAGACCUUCUUGGAGCAGAGACGGAGCUAACAAAAAAAGAGUUUUAGCAACGCCGCAUGGUCUUUGAAUACAUUUUUCUCAGCUCAAAAAAACCAUUCCCU
rnacentral:lncRNA from 1 species